GGACGUAUGGGCAUGGUGUUUGAGACACGGAUGGCACUAUUGUUGUGUAAUGAGGUGGUGUUCUUUUAGCUCGUGCUCUGAUUGCCGCUAAUACAUUUUUCAAGCUAUUAAACGGGUGAACGAGGACAACUGACCUGCAAAGAGGAAUUCUUUCAAAGUUUCAGUUAAUGCCCCUAUUUCUUGCACAACUGGGAUUACUACAGCCAACCAGGUAUGCAUGGGCCAGCAUGGCUGCCCCUGAGUCACAUUCCUGUCCAGUCUGUCAGCCACCCCAUCCAAGUCACAACCAGAUGGGAUGAAUUGGAUAAGGUCUCUUGGGAACACGGAUCCUUUCUCUAGGUCAUUUGUUUUUGCCAUCAGGGUCAGUUCAUCAAUGCAAAUGUGAAUUGACGGUGAAGGACUUAAGUGCAAGGAAAUGGUUAAUUGGAGGGGAUUAUUUUUGCUAAUUACUCAAUGUUUCUCACUUAAUAAACAGAUAUAAUGAUCACACAAGCAUAAUUAUCGGUCCAUGAUGUUAUCGCAUCAAUGGAUAUUAUGUUAUACUGAUGAAUGAAGAUAUGGACGAUAGGGGAUCGGAGUUUUAAUUUAUUUUUGUGUGUUCCUUUCAAAAAUUUGUUUUUGCUGACCUCUCUUGCUUUGAUUUUGCCCCAUCAGAUCGAUUCCCAGCCAGGCCCCGGUUUUGCAGGCAAGAUUGUGUGAGGGACACUCUCUCACUAAAGCAAUUAAUGAUUUAAUGAGGAUGGGAUGGAAGGAGGGGCAAGAAACGUCCAUUUCCAACUUUUGGCCCCCAAUAUAUCUUUCAACAAAUGCAUCCUUACUUAAGGUUCCUUGGAAAUUGUUUAGUGAUUGGUCAUAUAAUUUUUGCAUGCCUUUUUAAGUUUUUAGUGGUUGGUUGUAGGUCAAGAUAUGCUACAGCGGCGUAAGAUACUCCCACUGUUUUUUAUUUAAUGUCUUAAAAUUUUAGAUCCGAGAGUUGGCCUUGAUAAUUUACUUGAUUAAUUUCAUGUCACUUGAAUU